rnacentral:rRNA from 1 species
GAACCAGUACCGUGAGGGAAAGGCGAAAAGAACCCCUGUGAGGGGAGUGAAAUAGAUCCUGAAACCGUAUGCGUACAAGCAGUCGGAGCGGACUUGUUCCGUGACGGCGUACCUUUUGUAUAAUGGGUCAGCGACUUAUGUUCAGUGGCGAGGUUAACCGUUUAGGGGAGCCGUAGGGAAACCGAGUCUGAAUAGGGCGAUUUAGUCGCUGGGCAUAGACCCGAAACCGGGCGAUCUAUCCAUGAGCAGGUUGAAGGUGCCGUAACAGGCACUGGAGGACCGAACCCACUGUCGUUGAAAAGCCAGGGGAUGACUUGUGGAUCGGAGUGAAAGGCUAAUCAAGCCCGGAGAUAGCUGGUUCUCCCCGAAAGCUAUUUAGGUAGCGCCUCGGACGAAUACCAUUGGGGGUAGAGCACUGUUUGGGCUAGGGGGUCAUCCCGACUUACCAACCCCAUGCAAACUCCGAAUACCAAUGAGUACUAUCCGGGAGACACACGGCGGGUGCUAACGUCCGUCGUGGAGAGGGAAACAACCCAGACCGCCAGCUAAGGUCCCCAAAUAUUGCUAAGUGGGAAACGAUGUGGGAAGGCUCAGACAGCUAGGAGGUUGGCUUAGAAGCAGCCAUCCUUUAAAGAAAGCGUAAUAGCUCACUAGUCGAGU